UACGGAGGGUGCAAGCGUUAAUCGGAAUUACUGGGCGUAAAGGGUGCGUAGGCGGUUGUUUAAGUCUGUUGUGAAAUCCCCGGGCUCAACCUGGGAAUGGCAAUGGAUACUGGGCAGCUAGAGUGUGUCAGAGGAUGGUGGAAUUCCCGGUGUAGCGGUGAAAUGCGUAGAGAUCGGGAGGAACAUCAGUGGCGAAGGCGGCCAUCUGGGACAACACUGACGCUGAAGCACGAAAGCGUGGGGAGCGAACAGG
rnacentral:rRNA from 1 species